UUUACCAUGCACGGAUAUGCAGCACUGUCAUAUGUUCUUAUGCUUGCUGAUAUACUGAAGUCUAUUUCUGGUGUGGGUAGAAUCCAUGGUGGUAUAACUGACCAGUGUAUCUGAGAGGCCUCUAGCUUCUCCACCUCUUUACCCAUACUGAAAAUGAAACACUCUUUUUUUUCUCUCCUUGAUGUCCCCUUGGUGUAACUACUGCAUUGCCAAUUAUACAACAGGUUGUUCCGACCAAGCAAUCUGAUUGGUCAACUAGACAUUUAGAACGUGCUCAAAUCAGCAUGACAGCACACCUUGCCGUGCUCAAACGAAAAAUGCCUCAUCACUAAAACUAUUACUCCGCCGUUCAUUAGAACUACAGACCGUGACGUCGCGCUAACGGACGGUCAGGAACGAGGCGCUUCCUGACCACAACACUGUCGUGCUAACUAUGACGAUUGCAUCUUCAUCUGCAAGCAGAGAAAGUCCAAAACCAGUCUCAACGUCUUGUAUGUAGACCAACUUUUAACACAUCCCCACAACAAUCACUCUCAAGGACCAGUGGUGAUGAUGAGGAGCUCAGAGAAGACCAGAAGAAGCUCAGAGUAGAGCCUCUGCUCUUUCACAUUGAAAGGCGUCAGUUGAGGGGGUUUAGGCAUCUGACUCAGAUGCCUCCUGUAUGCCUCCAUGUUGAGGAGAUCCAAGCAGACCCAGAACAUACUCAACGGAUUAUAUGUUCCAUCUGGCCAGCAAAUGCCUCAAGAUCCCCCAAGGGGAGAUGAAGGACAUGGCUCUAGAGAAAGAUGUCACAAGUAUUUCUCUGAUCCACCCUGAAUUACAAACAAUGAAACACAAUGGAGCUACAUUAAAUACACAAAAAUGAACAUACCUGCCACUG